GACAGAGGCCACGAACGUUGUUCGGAAUCACUGGGCAUAAAGCGCACGUAGGCGGCUAGGUCCGUCCAAUGUGAAAGCCCCCGACUCAACCGGGGAAUUGCAUCGGAUACAGCCUGGCUUGAGGACGGUUGGGGUGAGUGGAACUCCUGGUGGAGCGGUGAAAUGCGUAGAUAUCAGGAGGAACACCGGUGGCGAAAGCGGCUCACUGGACCGUUUCUGACGCUGAGGUGCGAAAGCUAGGGGAGCAAACGGG
rnacentral:rRNA from 1 species